UACGGAGGGUGCAAGCGUUAAUCGGAAUUACUGGGCGUAAAGCGCACGUAGGUGGUUUGUUAAGCCAGCUGUGAAAUCCCCGGGCUCAACCUGGGAACUGCAUCCGAGACUGCAUUGCUAGAGUAUGGGAGAGGGAAGCGGAAUUUCUGGUGUAGCAGUGAAAUGCGUAGAUAUCAGAAGGAACAUCAGUGGCGAAGGCGACACCCUGGACUCAUACUGACACUGAGGUGCAAAAGCGUGGGGAGCAAACAGG
rnacentral:rRNA from 1 species